rnacentral:rRNA from 1 species
UACGUAGGGUGCGAGCGUUGUCCGGAAUUAUUGGGCGUAAAGAGCUCGUAGGCGGUCCGUUAAGUCGGAAGUGAAAUCUCAAGGCUCAACCUUGAAAUCGCUUUCGAUACUGGCGGACUUGAGGCAGGUAGGGGAAGGUGGAAUUCCUGGUGUAGCGGUGAAAUGCGCAGAUAUCAGGAGGAACACCGGUGGCGAAGGCGGCCUUCUGGGCCUGUUCUGACGCUGAGGAGCGAAAGCGUGGGGAGCAAACAGG